rnacentral:rRNA from 1 species
GACGGGGGAUGCAAGCGGUAUCCGGAAUCACUGGGCGUAAAGAGUCUGUAGGUGGUGAUGCAAGUCACUGGUGCAAAACUCUGGCUCAACCGGAGGAAAGCCAGUGAAACUGCAUGACUAGAGUGUGGGAGAGGUAGAAGGAAUUCCCUGAGUAGCGGUGAAAUGCGUAGAUACAGGGAAGAACACCGGAGGCGAAAGCGUUCUACUGGAACACAACUGACACUGAGAGACGAAAGCUAGGCGAGCGAAUGGG